AGGUCUGAUAGUCUAUCUUUUCAGUGCUCUUGGAAACCCUGGAAUAUAGUCUAUCAGAUCUGG
ensembl:miRNA mdo-mir-7385f mdo-mir-7385f